rnacentral:tRNA from 1 species
AAGGAUUUAAGUUAAAGGACAAACUAAUAGCCUUCAAAGCUGUAAAUAGGAAUACCUAAGCCUUA